rnacentral:rRNA from 1 species
AUUCCAGCUCCAAUAGCGUAUAUUAAAGUUGUUGCAGUUAAAAAGCUCGUAGUUGGAUUUCUGGCAGGAGCGACCGGUCACACACUCUGUGUGUGAACUUGUGUUGUCUCUGGCCAUCCUUGGGGAGAUCCUGUUUGGCAUUAAGUUGUCGGGCAGGGGACAUCCAUCGUUUACUGUGAAAAAAUUAGAGUGUUUAAAGCAGGCUUAUGCCGUUGAAUAUAUUAGCAUGGAAUAAUAAGAUAGGACUUCGGAACUAUUUUGUUGGUUUGCGUUACGAAGUAAUGAUUAAUAGGGACAGUUGGGGGUAUUCGUAUUUCGUUGUCAGAGGUGAAAUUCUUGGAUUUCCGAAAGACGAACUACUGCGAAAGCAUUUACCAAGGAUGUUUUCAUCA